GCAUGCGAAUCUUCAGCUUCUCCUGGGGGGUCAUCUUGGGCUGUGGGGGACAGACCGAUCAGCCAGGGCCUGCAGUGAGUCAGUGAGCAUGUGUGUGUGCGUGCGUGUGUGUGUGUGCGUGUCGGCCUGCGUGCGUGUGUGUGUGUGCGUGCGUGUCGGCCUGCGUGCGUGCGUGUGUGUGCGUGAGUGUCGGCCUGCGUGCGUGCGUGCGUGCGUGCGUGUGUGCGUGAGGAGAAUCGCAGUCCAACAGUAACAGUUGUGUCAACGUGAGGAGGAGCAGGAUCCAGGACGGUUGGACGGGGCACGGCCGCCCGUCUGACGGAGAGAGAGCGCUACGCCGCCAGCACUGCAGCUGCUCUGCAACCGCCAGGAAGCUCCCCUCCGUGUGUGUGUGUGUGUGUGUGUGUGUGUGUGUGUGUGUGUGUGUGUGUGUGUGUGUGUGUGUGUGUGUGUGUGUGUGUGUGUGUGUGUGUGUGUGUGUGUGUGUGUGUGUGUGUGUGUGUGUAAAAG